UUUAACGUCGUAUUAAACCCAGUUCACGUACCAUUUUAAUCGACGAACAGUCGAACCCUUUCUAGCUUAUACACCAGAAGGACAUGGUGAACCGACAUCGUGCCGAACAGCGCUUACGAUAUGAACUCUUUCGCGCUACUAGCCUG
rnacentral:misc_RNA from 1 species